rnacentral:rRNA from 1 species
CACGUAAGUAACCUGCCUUUAAGACGAGGAUAACAACCGGAAGGUUACUAAGACUGGAUAGGAAACAAAAAGGCAUCUUUUUGUUUUUAAAAGACCUUCUUACGAAGGUAUGCUUAAAGAGGGGCUUGCGCCACAUUAGUUAGUUGGUAGAGUAAAAGCCUACCAAGACGAUGAUGUGUAGCUGGACUGAGAGGUUGAACAGCCACAUUGGGACUGAGACACGGCCCAAACUCCUACGGGAGGCAGCAGUAGGGAAUUUUCGGCAAUGGAGGAAACUCUGACCGAGCAACGCCGCGUGAACGAUGAAGUAUUUCGGUAUGUAAAGUUCUUUUAUUGAAGAAGAAAAAGUAGUGGAAAAACUAUAUUGACGUUAUUCAAUGAAUAAGCCCCGGCUAACUAUGUGCCAGCAGCCGCGGUAAGACAUAGGGGGCGAGCGUUAUCCGGAAUUAUUGGGCGUAAAGGGUGCGUAGGCUGUUAGAUAAGUCUAUAAUUUAAUUUCAGUGCUUAACGCUGUCUUGUUAUAGAAACUGUCUUGACUAGAGUGAGAUAGAGGCAAGCGGAAUUCCAUGUGUAGCGGUAAAAUGUGUAAAUAUAUGGAGGAACACCAGAAGCGUAGGCGGCUUGCUGGGUCUUUACUGACGCUGAGGCACGAAAGCGUGGGUAGCAAACAGGAUUAGAUACCCUGGUAGUCCACGCCGUAAACGAUGAGUACUAAGUGUCGGGGUAAAACUCGGUACUGAAGUUAACACAUUAAGUACUCCGCCUGAGUAGUACGUACGCAAGUAUGAAACUUAAAGGAAUUGACGGGACUCCGCACAAGCGGUGGAUCAUGUUGUUUAAUUCGAAGAUACACGAAAAAUCUUACCAGGUCUUGACAUACUCUGCAAAGCUAUAGAAAUAUAGUGGAGGUUAUCAGGGAUACAGGUGGUGCAUGGUUGUCGUCAGUUCGUGUCGUGAGAUGUUAGGUUAAGUCCUAAAACGAACGCAACCCUUGUCGUUAAUUGCCAGCACAUAAUGGUGGGGACUUUAACGAGACUGCCAAUUAAACAUUGGAGGAAGGUGAGGAUUACGUCAAAUCAUCAUGCCCCUUAUGAUCUGGGCUACAAACGUGAUACAAUGGCUGUGACAAAGAGUAGCUGAAACGCGAGUUUUUAGCCAAUCUCAAAAAAGCAGUCUCAGUUCGGAUUGAAGUCUGUAACUCGACUUCAUGAAGUUGGAAUCGCUAGUAAUCGCGAAUCAGCAUGUCGCGGUGAAUACGUUCUCGGGGUUUGUACACACCGCCCGUCAAACCACGAAAGUUAGCAAUGCCCGAAAGCAGUAGCU